AUAACUUCUCGGCCUUUUGACUAAGAUCAAGUGUUAUAUUUUUUUAUAUAUAUAUAUAUUUUUUUUAAAAAAUAUUUAUUUAUUUAUUUAUUUAUUUUGCAAGGUGCUAGGUGCAGGGUUGUACGUGCCUGCCUCCUAUGGUAGGGCAGUGCAGGACUGUCCCUGCCAUAGCAAAGAUU
rnacentral:snRNA from 1 species